rnacentral:rRNA from 1 species
CAGCCGCCGCGGGAAUACGGAGGGGGCUAGCGUUGUUCGGAAUUACUGGGCGUAAAGCGCACGUAGGCGGACCGGAAAGUCAGAGGUGAAAUCCCAGGGCUCAACCUUGGAACUGCCUUUGAAACUCCUGGUCUUGAGGUCGAGAAAGGUGAGUGGAAUUCCGAGUGUAGAGGUGAAAUUCGUAGAUAUUCGGAGGAACACCAGUGGCGAAGGCGGCUCACUGGCUCGAUACUGACGCUGAGGUGCGAAAGCGUGGGGAGCAAACAGGAUUAGAUACCCCUGUAGUCCCUGUCUCUUAUAC